rnacentral:ncRNA from 2 species
UGCUUAUGGAGAAAGGCGGAGGGAUUAGACCCUGCGAUGUCUUGGCAACCUGUGCUUACAAGGUGCUACAUUCUACUUAGCCGGGAGAAAUCGGUUAGGAAAGAUAAGCG